CCUACACUUUUAGACAGAAAACUGAGACCGUUUAUUAACUACUUGAAACACCAACCUGAGAAUACUAGUUUUUAUAUCAGAAUGGAAAAUGCAAUAGUCUGGAGUUUAUUGUUUGUAAUUUCUAUUCAUGGAGUCUGGAGUGAGAUCAGACUGGACCAGUCUCCAUCUGAGCUGAAAAGACCUGGAGAGACAGUGAAGAUGUCAUGUAUCACAUCUGGUUAUCGCAUGACCAGCUACAAUAUCCACUGGAUACGACAGAGACCAGGGGAAGCUCUGGAGUGGAUUGGAAGGAUGGAUACAGGCAACAACGCUGCGAUCUACGGGAAUUCUUUUCAAGGACGUUUCCUCAUGACUGAAGAUGUGUCCAGCAGCACUCAGUACCUGCAGAUCAAGAGUCUGACAGCUGAAGAUUCUGCUGUUUACUUCUGUGCUCGAAGAGACACAGUGACUGAAGACAGUGAAGCAGCUGCACAAAAACCUCCACAGACAACAAGUGCACAGAGUCGUCAUAACAACAUCUGAGUUUUCUAACCAGUUAAAUAAAAAUGUGUUCAAAGUUUUAGAAACAUACUAUUAUAUGUAUAUAUGAACAUCUAGUCUGUCCUCCGUGUUUGUAUUGUUACAGAAAGACAAACAUCUGUCAGUAAUUAAAAUCAUUCGUGUCUGUCUGCCAUGUAACAAUGACAAUGAGGUUUAAAAGUGGGGGGAAAAAUGCAGUUACCUAUUUAUGUAUUUUAGUUUUUGAUAAAUCUGUUUUGCAAUAAUGUCACAGUUCAUUCACAUGAUGUCAUUUAUUAUAUUAAUUAUUACAUUAAUUCAAUGCUUUUGCUACUUUGAAGGAAUGUUACCAGUUAUUAUGAUUUUGAAGUGUAAAAUAAACGGCGUUGUUAAAUCAUGAA